AGCCAAAAGGAACCCUGACCCUAGGUCUGCGACCGUGCUAACCGGGAACCUCGGGACGUCCCUAACCCAUUGAAGUUUACAUUUAAAUGGUUUAGGUAGGGGUUAGUGUUUAGGGUAUGGACGACCCAAGGAUCCCGGAUUUCACUUCUGACUGUCCUGUCUUACAACAGGAAGAGAGACAUUUAUCAGAGGAAGCACAUGUUCUUGAACACACACACAAACACUGAGUUGUGAGGAUAGAUAUUCAUGGUGGACUGGAAGAGAGGAGGGAAGAGAGAGAAGUGAGAAUGUCCAGCCUGGAGAAGAUCUGAGGUCUUCAACCUAGAGACCUGCCACCCAUACUUCAGACUGUCGCUCAGCAGAUACCUCUUGCACAAGGCAUGGUGCUGUAGGCCUAAACUGUGUAGGCACCAUUACCGUGCAUUUGUAACCCUCUUCCCUGUGUCAGUUCCCAAUGACCCUCCUGCAGAAUGGGGUGAAGAUGACCAACUAGUCGCCCACAGGUCUAUACCUUCAACCUUCUGCAGUCAUACCCGUCAGACCCUAUCUGAGACCAGGACUUCUUCAAUGCCGCACAGACAAAGAACUGAGUUUUCUCCCACGGAGAAACAGAAUGACACCAGUAGCUGUUUGGAAUGUUCUCUCAACACUCAGGACGAGAAGGAGAAGGUUUGCAAAAGUGAACCCAACAAAGCAAGGGAAACACAUCAAAAGAUAGAUCCAUCCAUCAGCUGCAGGCAGCUCACGCCUGUCUAAUACCAUGGGGGCUGGACGCACAUGAGAGACCAGUUCUACCUCACUCCAAGAAGUUUUACAUGUACCAAAAUAUAUACUGAACAAAAAUAUAAAUGCAACAUGUAAAGUGUUUCAUGAGCUGA